UACAAUAUGUACCCACAGACGC
rnacentral:siRNA from 1 species